GACGAACGCUGGCGGCGUGCUUAACACAUGCAAGUCGAACGGUGAUGCUCCAGCUUGCUGGAGUGGAUCAGUGGCGAACGGGUGAGUAACACGUGAGCAACCUGCCCCAGACUCUGGAAUAAGCGCUGGAAACGGCGUCUAAUACUGGAUACGAAACUGGCCCGCAUGGGCAUGGUUUGGAAAGUUUUUCGGUUUGGGAUGGGCUCGCGGCCUAUCAGCUUGUUGGUGAGGUAAUGGCUCACCAAGGCGACGACGGGUAGCCGGCCUGAGAGGGCGACCGGCCACACUGGGACUGAGACACGGCCCAGACUCCUACGGGAGGCAGCAGUGGGGAAUAUUGCACAAUGGGCGAAAGCCUGAUGCAGCGACGCCGCGUGAGGGAUGGCGGCCUUCGGGUUGUAAACCUCUUUCAGCAGGGAAGAAGCGAAAGUGACGGUACCUGCAGAAGAAGCACCGGCUAACUACGUG
rnacentral:rRNA from 1 species